ACGGAAGGCAGCAGUGGGGAAUAUUGCACAAUGGGGGAAACCCUGAUGCAGCGACGCCGCGUGAAGGAAGAAGUAUCUCGGUAUGUAAACUUCUAUCAGCAGGGAAGAAAAUGACGGUACCUGACUAAGAAGCCCCGGCUAACUACGUGCCAGCAGCCGCGGUAAUACGCAGGGGGCAAGCGUUAUCCGGAUUUACUGGGUGUAAAGGGAGCGUAGACGGAAUUGCAAGUCUGAUGUGAAAGGCAUGGGCUCAACCUGUGGACUGCAUUGGAAACUGUGAUUCUUGAGUGCCGGAGGGGUAAGCGGAAUUCCUGGUGUAGCGGUGAAAUGCGUAGAUAUCAGGAGGAACACCGGUGGCGAAGGCGGCUUACUGGACGGCAACUGACGUUGAGGCUCGAAGGCGUGGGGAGCAAACAGGAUUAGAUACCCUGGUA
rnacentral:rRNA from 1 species